CCGGAGCUUNUCCACCGGAAAAAGAGGAGUGGGCGAACGGGUGAGUAACACGUGGGUAACCUGGCCCAUCAGAAGGGGAUAACACUUGGAAACAGGUGCUAAUACCGUAUAACAAUCAAAACCGCAUGGUUUUGAUUUGAAAGGCGCUUUCGGGUGUCGCUGAUGGAUGGACCCGCGGUGCAUUAGCUAGUUGGUGAGGUAACGGCUCACCAAGGCCACGAUGCAUAGCCGACCUGAGAGGGUGAUCGGCCACAUUGGGAC
rnacentral:rRNA from 1 species